UACGUAGGGUGCAAGCGUUGUCCGGAAUUAUUGGGCGUAAAGAGCUCGUAGGCGGUUUGUCGCGUCGAAUGUGAAAUCCCGGGGCUCAACCCCGGGUCUGCAUUCGAUACGGGCAGACUAGAGUUCGGUAGGGGAGUCUGGAAUUCCUGGUGUAGCGGUGAAAUGCGUAGAUAUCUGGAGGAACACCGGUGGCGAAGGCGGAUCUCUGGGCCGAUACUGACGCUGAGGAGCGAAAGCGUGGGGAGCGAACAGG
rnacentral:rRNA from 1 species